rnacentral:rRNA from 1 species
CCUACGGGAGGCAGCAGUGAGGAAUAUUGGUCAAUGGACGAGAGUCUGAACCAGCCAAGUAGCGUGAAGGAUGACUGCCCUAUGGGUUGUAAACUUCUUUUAUAUGGGAAUAAAAUGUUCCACGUGUGGGAUUUUGUAUGUACCAUAUGAAUAAGGAUCGGCUAACUCCGUGCCAGCAGCCGCGGUAAUACGGAGGAUCCGAGCGUUAUCCGGAUUUAUUGGGUUUAAAGGGAGCGUAGGUGGAUUUUUAAGUCAGUUGUGAAAGUUUGCGGCUCAACCGUAAAAUUGCAGUUGAAACUGGCAGUCUUGAGUACAGUAGAGGUAGGCGGAAUGCGUGGUGUAGCGGUGAAAUGCUUAGAGAUCACGAAGAACUCCGAUUGCGAAGGCAGUUCACUGGACUGCAACUGACACUGAGGCUCGAAAGUGUGGGUAUCAAACAGGAUUAGAUACCCCAGUAGUC